rnacentral:lncRNA from 1 species
GCCUUGGAGAGUGCUGUUGUGGAUGGCAGUGAGUGUGACUCAUCUGGCUCUACAGCUGGAAAUGUAGUAUUAAAGAAAAUAAAUAACAAGACUGAAAAGAGCAUUAAAUGAGGAAAUGAGGCAUGAAUGCAUGAAACAGAGAACUAUUGGCCUUUACCGUGCUCUACCCUGCAUCACUGGUGGGCUGCCUGUCUCCGCACGCUCCUGUCAUGGCAGCAUUCGCUGGAGCUGGAAAGGAAAAGGAGGCACCAAAGGGACGCUUCAGGAAACCGUCCUCCCAAAGAGCCGAGCUUUCUGCUCCCUUGUUACUUGUGGAGAACUCUGCUGAUUCCUGUCACAACCCCGACUGGCAGCUCUCUCCCAGAGGUAACCAAACAGUUCAACUCAGGAAAUUCCAGUAAUUGCAUUAUAUUUCAGGUGCUGACAACAUUCGUUUUAUUGCCACAUUCUUUUGAAAGUAAAGACAAAAUAAUAUACAGUAAUAAUAUACCAGAGCUGGUGGGAGAGGGAUUGAAUUUUAUGCUCAAGCUUGAUGCAAAAGUGUAACAAAAAUGAGUUCUGUUUAGACAAUGAAUGGUAAUCAACCACACUGCAAACUUCCCCACCAUGACUUAAAAAGCUAUUUGAUUCUUAACGCUACUACUGUUUGUCUGCUACGUGAGCAAGUAAAAUGGUAGGUCAGUUAUAUGAGAUGACAUGGGUUGUGGAUGUCUUAUCAGAUACUGAGUCUUUCACACAAAGUAUCAGAACAGACAACGAUAUAUAGAAUUAGAAAUAUUUUAAGAUUUCCACAGGUCUUCCUUUUUAAGAUACUAACUUGGAUGUGCUGUAAAUGUACAACUACUGUUAAACUUUCAUUCAUUAAAAGGAUAUUUUUAAUCCAAUGUGGGAUCAUUAAGGUAUUUCAGGUAAAGGAUGUUUUAUUUUUAUACUUUCUGGAAAAAUACCACAUAUUAGAAUUUGGAGAAAAUCUUUGAGACCAUUUUUGUUUCAGAAUAUUUAAUUGACAACCAAGAUACCUCACCAUAUGUCUAAAAAUAUAAUUAUGUAUUCCUUAAGACCUCCCCCACACCCAUAUGCUAAAAGGCUAAACACAAUAAAAUGUAACAGAAAACAGAUUUCA